rnacentral:rRNA from 1 species
AGGACGAACGCUGGCGGCGUGCCUAACACAUGCAAGUCGAACGGGACCAGGGGCAACUCUGGUUCAGUGGCGGACGGGUGCGUAACACGUGAGGAACAUGUCUUUCGGUGGGGGAUAGCCGGCCCAACGGCCGGGUAAUACCGCAUACGCUGCUCGGAGCUCCUGCUCUGAGUCGGAAAGCAGCAAUCGCGCCGAUUGAGUGCCUCGCGGCCUAUCAGCUAGUGGUGAGGUAAUGGCUCACCAGGCGAGCGGUAGCUGGCUGAGAGGAUGAUCGAGCCA